AUUGAACGCUGGCGGCAUACUUUACACAUGCAAGUCGAACGGCAGCACGGGGGCAACCCUGGUGGCGAGUGGCGAACGGGUGAGUAAUGUAUCGGAACGUAUCCGGAAAUGGGGGAUAACGCAGCGAAAGUUGCGCUAAUACCGCAUAUGCCCUGAGGGGGAAAGGUGGGGAUCGCAAGACCUAUCGUUUUCGGAGCGGCCGAUAUCAGAUUAGCCAGUUGGUGGGGUAAAGGCCCACCAAGGCGACGAUCUGUAGCUGGUCUGAGAGGACGGCCAGCCACACUGGGACGGAGACACGGCCCAGACUCCUACGGGAGGCAGCAGUGGGGAAUUUUGGACAAUGGGGGCAACCCUGAUCCAGCCAUGCCGCGUGAGUGAAGAAGGCCUUCGGGUUGUAAAGCUCUUUCGGACAGAAAGAAAUCGCCAUCUCUAAUACGGGUGGUGGAUGACGGUACUGUAAGAAGAAGCACCGGCUAACUACGUGCCAGCCGCCGCAGUAACAC
rnacentral:rRNA from 1 species